CCUGAGAAUAAGAGUCACAUACAGAAUAAACUUGUGCCAGCACUACUUCUCUCUCGCCCUCAGUCUCAUUGUAAUCUGUUGAUAAAUGUAUAUCAUUUUGAAAGCUCAUUGGUUGUCUCAUGCAAUAUGGGUUUUUGUCCUCCUUUCCAUUGGCUCUUUCCUCUUCUUUGAAUAAAUUCUUAGAUUUAACCUUAGCAAUUUUGUCCAAAUCUGUCUCUGCCAAUGGUAUAUUACC
rnacentral:misc_RNA from 1 species